UGGGGAAUAUUGCACAAUGGGCGCAAGCCUGAUGCAGCCAUGCCGCGUGUGUGAAGAAGGCCUUCGGGUUGUAAAGCACUUUCAGCGAGGAGGAAGGUGGUGAACUUAAUACGUUCAUCAAUUGACGUUACUCGCAGAAGAAGCACCGGCUAACUCCGUGCCAGCAGCCGCGGUAAUACGGAGGGUGCAAGCGUUAAUCGGAAUUACUGGGCGUAAAGCGCACGCAGGCGGUUUGUUAAGUCAGAUGUGAAAUCCCCGGGCUCAACCUGGGAACUGCAUUUGAAACUGGCAAGCUAGAGUCUCGUAGAGGGGGGUAGAAUUCCAGGUGUAGCGGUGAAAUGCGUAGAGAUCUGGAGGAAUACCGGUGGCGAAGGCGGCCCCCUGGACGAAGACUGACGCUCAGGUGCGAAAAGCGUGGGGCAGCAAACAGGAUUAGAUACCCUGGUAGUCCACGCUGUAAACGAUGUCGAUUUGGAGGUUGUGCCCUUGAGGCGUGGCUUCCGGAGCUAACGCGUU
rnacentral:rRNA from 1 species